rnacentral:rRNA from 1 species
AGGAUUAACGCUGGCGGCGUGCCUGACACAUGCAAGUCGAACGAGGCCGCAAGGCCGAGUGGCGGACGGGUGAGUAACACGUGACCAACCAACCUCGAAGUUGGGAAUAGCUCUGCGAAAGUAGGGGUAAUACCGAAUGUGGCCCAGGGCGGGCAUCCGCCUUGGUCUAAAGAUUCAUCGCUUCGAGACGGGGUCGCGGCCUAUUAGCUUGUUGGUGAGGUAACGGCUCACCAAGGCGAUGAUGGGUAGCUGGUCUGAGAGGACGACCAGCCACACUGGGACUGAGACACGGCCCAGACUCCUACGGGAGGCAGCAGUGAGGAAUCUUCCGCAAUGGGCGAAAGCCUGACGGAGCAACGCCGCGUGUGGGAUGAAGGCUCUAGGGUUGUAAACCACUGUCGGAGGGGACGAUCGUGACGGUACCCUCCAAGAAACGCCCCGGCUAACUACGUGCCAGCAGCCGC